rnacentral:rRNA from 1 species
UACGUAGGGUGCAGGCGUUAAUCGGAAUUACUGGGCGUAAAGCGUGCGCAGGCGGUUUGCUAAGACAGGUGUGAAAUCCCCCGGGCUUAACCUGGGAACUGCGCUUGUAACUGGCAAGCUGGAGUGUGGCAGAGGGGGGUGGAAUUCCACGUGUAGCAGUGAAAUGCGUAGAGAUGUGGAGGAACACCGAUGGCGAAGGCAGCCCCCUGGGCUAACACUGACGCUCAUGCACGAAAGCGUGGGGAGC